UCAUAGAAUUUUUAAAAAUUCAUGAUGUCGUAAGGGAAAAUAAUGAUAAUACCUUACUAUGAGUGUCGUCCAAAUCUGGUGCCAGAAGACUCGGUAAGACCAGAGACGCAAACGUUAAUCAUCAUAAACAGGCGUAAAGGGUUUGUAGGCAGCUUUUAUAGGAUUAUUAUAAAAAGAUAAUCUAAAUUAAAAGCUAGAAUCAAAAAGAGGUUAUAGUGUAUAACGCCUAGAGGAGGGCUGAUAUCCGUAGAUCCUAGGCAGAAUACUCAGGGCGAAGGCCACUCUCCAUUAAUGAUUGACGCUGAGAAACGAAGGUUAGGGUAGGAAAUAGGAUUAGAUACCCCGGUACUCCUUUCUGUAAACGAUGAAUGGUAGUCAUUAGUAAAAAAAAUAACUAGAGGCGAAGUUAACACAAUAACCAUUCCGCCUUGUGAGUACUACUGCAAAGUAGAAAACAAAAAAAUUAGUCGGUCUCGAAGCAAACGGAGUGAAGCAUGUUAUUUA
rnacentral:rRNA from 1 species